GCCCUCUUGGCUUAGUGGUAAAGCGUAUCACUAGUACCUUCGGAACAUGAUAAGAUCGCUAGUUCGAUUCUGGCAGAGGGCA